UACAGAGGUCCCAAGCGUUGUUCGGAUUCACUGGGCGUAAAGGGUGCGUAGGCGGUCGGGUAAGUCUGAUGUGAAAUCUCACAGCUUAACUGUGAAACUGCAUUGGAUACUAUCCGGCUAGAGGAAUGGAGGGGAGACUGGAAUACUUGGUGUAGCAGUGAAAUGCGUAGAUAUCAAGUGGAACACCAGUGGCGAAGGCGAGUCUCUGGACAUUCCCUGACGCUGAGGCACGAAAGCCAGGGGAGCAAACGGG
rnacentral:rRNA from 1 species